GACGAACGCUGGCGGCGUGCCUAAUACGUGCAAGUUGAGCGCUGAAGGUUGGUACUUGUACCAACUGGAUGAGCAGCGAACGGGUGAGUAACGCGUGGGGAAUCUGCCUUUGAGCGGGGGACAACAUUUGGAAACGAAUGCUAAUACCGCAUAAAAACUUUAAACACAAGUUUUAAGUUUGAAAGAUGCAAUUGCAUCACUCAAAGAUGAUCCCGCGUUGUAUUAGCUAGUUGGUGAGGUAAAGGCUCACCAAGGCGAUGAUACAUAGCCGACCUGAGAGGGUGAUCGGCCACAUUGGGACUGAGACACGGCCCAAACUCCUACGGGAGGCAGCAGUAGGGAAUCUUCGGCAAUGGACGAAAGUCUGACCGAGCAACGCUGCGUGAGUGAAGAAGGUUUUCGGAUCGUAAAACUCUGUUGGUAGAGAAGAACGUUGGUGAGAGUGGAAAGCUCAUCAAGUGACGGUAACUACCCAGAAAGGGACGGCUAACUACGUG
rnacentral:rRNA from 1 species